rnacentral:rRNA from 1 species
UACGGAGGGGGCUAGCGUUGUUCGGAAUUACUGGGCGUAAAGCGCACGUAGGCGGCUUUGCAAGUCAGAGGUGAAAGCCCGGGGCUCAACCCCGGAAUAGCCUUUGAGACUGCAUCGCUAGAAUUGUGGAGAGGUAAGUGGAAUUCCGAGUGUAGAGGUGAAAUUCGUAGAUAUUCGCAAGAACACCAGUGGCGAAGGCGGCUCACUGGCCCGGUACUGACGCUGAGGUGCGAAAGCGUGGGGAGCAAACAGG